rnacentral:rRNA from 1 species
UCCUUUAACGAGGAUCAACUGGAGGGCAAGUCUGGUGCCAGCAGCCGCGGUAAUUCCAGCUCCAGUAGCGUAUAUUAAAGUUGUUGCAGUUAAAAAGCUCGUAGUUGGAUCUGGGUCGCAUGGCCACGUGUCGUCACUUGCAUUCUCGUUCUGAGCACUGCUUGUUCGGGUUUGUGAGUCGGUCUGGUGGCUGUGUAGCCUUUCUGCCGUCUCGGUUUUAACAGGUGCUGAUGGGCAAUCCCUCGGCAUGCUUCCAGAUGCCCUUAACCGGGUGUCGGGAGCGGACGGUACGUUUACUUUGAACAAAUUUGAGUGCUCAAAGCAGGCCUAUGCCUGAAAAUUCUUGCAUGGAAUAAUGGAAUAGGACUUCGGUUCUAUUUUGUUGGUUUUCGGAUCCGAAGUAAUGGUUAAGAGGGACAGACGGGGGCAUUUGUAUGGCGGUGUUAGAGGUGAA